UAGCCCGCCUCUCAUCCUCCUCGCAGAAAUGGGCUCAGCCAAUGCGCCCUCAUUCAGAGAGGAGCGUAGACUGACACGUCGGGCGGCCAAUAGGUGCACGGAGAAAGGACUGCAAGCUUUUUGGAGUAGGGACUUGUGAAACCUGUUCUUUGUGAAGCUCUGUAUACAUACAUGCCACUGUCACCCUCAUCAAGCUUAAAAAAAGACUGCAGAAGCAAUAGGAAAGGUUGCUCUAGCCCCAUCCAUCAGCCAAAGGAGAAAAGAGCUGCCAGCCACUAUGCAAGCAAGGACACCAGCGGAGCAAGGGAAGAGCAGCCUGGCAACAACUGGAUAUAAAUGCCCACUUAUAGCUCACCACUUUAUUCUGACCUUGAAAUAUGAACUCCCUCCUCUACCUCCCCCCCCCUUCCACUUCUCUUCCCUUGACUUAGUUUGUAAACGUGAUGACAGGGACUGCCUCUCAUUUUUUUAAAGCUGCUUCGGAAGGUAACAUUUUGCCUGAAAUGUGGGAUAAAAUCUAAAUAGACAAGCAAUAGAAUGAAAUUAAUGCUGUGGGGAAAUUAUACUAACAAAAUGGAUCCCACCUAAGCCUUAAGCAUUUCUGGGGCAACUGCAGUUGGUGGCAGGAAGGUCUCUAUAGCUAUUACUGCAUCCACUGGGUUAUUGUAGGGUGUGGUUGCU